rnacentral:rRNA from 1 species
AUACAGAGGUGGCAAGCGUUGUUCGGAAUUACUGGGCGUAAAGGGCGCGUAGGCGGUUCGGUAAGUCCCGUGUGAAAUCCCUCGGCUCAACUGAGGAACUGCACGGGAGACUGCCGGGCUUGAGUUCGGGAGAGGGAAGCGGAAUUCCGGGUGUAGCGGUGAAAUGCGUAGAUAUCCGGAGGAACACCAGUGGCGAAGGCGGCUUCCUGGACCGACACUGACGCUGAGGCGCGAAAGCUAGGGGAGCAAACGG